rnacentral:rRNA from 1 species
GACGGGGGGGGGCAAGCGUUGUUCGGAAUUACUGGGCGUAAAGGGCUCGUAGGUGGCCAACUAAGUCAGACGUGAAAUCCCUCGGCUUAACCGGGGAACUGCGUCUGAUACUGGAUGGCUAGAGUUUGGGAGAGGGAUGCGGAAUUCCAGGUGUAGCGGUGAAAUGCGUAGAUAUCUGGAGGAACACCGGUGGCGAAGGCGGCAUCCUGGACCAACACUGACGCUGAGGAGCGAAAGCCAGGGGAGCAAACGGG